rnacentral:rRNA from 1 species
CCUAGCUAUUACUUCUCCACAUGGUGACAAAAACCACCAACGCUCAAGAAUACAAACAAGAAUGCUGNACUAAUAAAAACGCCCCCCCUUUCCNAAAACCCCCCAGCGUGGGGAAUCUUCCGCAAUGGGCGAAAGCCUGACGGAGCAAUACCGCGUGAGGGAGGAAGGCUUNUGGGUUGUAAACCUCUUUUCUCAAGGAAUAAUGCAAUGAAGGUACUUGAGGAAUCAGCAUCGGCUAACUCCGUGCCAGCAGCCGCGGUAAUACGGAGGAUGCAAGCGUUAUCCGGAAUGAUUGGGCGUAAAGCGUCCGCAGGUGGCAGUGUAAGUCUGUUGUUAAAGAGCAAAGCUCAACUUUGUAAAGGCAGUGGAAACUACACAGCUAGAGUACGUUCGGGGCAGAGGGAAUUCCUGGUGUAGCGGUGAAAUGCGUAGAGAUCAGGAAGAACACCGGUGGCGAAAGCGCUCUGCUAGGCCGUAACUGACACUGAGGGACGAAAGCUAGGGGAGCGAAUGGGAUUAGAUACCCCAGUAGUCCUAGCCGUAAACGAUGGAUACUAGGCGUUGCUUGUAUCGACCCGAGCAGUGCCGUAGCUAACGCGUUAAGUAUCCCGCCUGGGGAGUACGCACGCAAGUGUGAAACUCAAAGGAAUUGACGGGGGCCCGCACAAGCGGUGGAGUAUGUGGUUUAAUUCGAUGCAACGCGAAGAACCUUACCAGGACUUGACAUGUCGCGAAUCUGCCUGAAAGGGGAGAGUGCCUUCGGGAGCGCGAACACAGGUGGUGCAUGGCUGUCGUCAAGCUCUUGUCAUAGUCUGAGUAUCCCCGACAGG